rnacentral:rRNA from 1 species
CCUACGGGCGGCAGCAGUGAGGAAUAUUGGUCAAUGGACGAGAGUCUGAACCAGCCAAGUAGCGUGAAGGAUGACUGCCCUAUGGGUUGUAAACUUCUUUUAUAUGGGAAUAAAAUGUUCCACGUGUGGCUUUUUGUAUGUACCAUAUGAAUAAGGAUCGGCUAAUUCCGUGCCAGCAGCCGCGGUAAUACGGAGGAUCCGAGCGUUAUCCGGAUUUAUUGGGUUUAAAGGGAGCGUAGGUGGUUUGUUAAGUCAGUUGGGAAAGUUUGAGGCUCAACCGUAAAAUUGCCGUUGAAACUGGCAGUCUUGAGGAAAGUAGAGGUGGGCGGAAUGCGUGGUGUAGCGGUGAAAUGCUUAGAUAUCACGAAGAACUCCGAUUGCGAAGGCAGGUCACUGGACUGGAACUGACACUGAGGCUCGAAAGUGUGGGUAUCAAACAGGAUUAGAUACCCCUGUAGUC